rnacentral:rRNA from 1 species
AUACGGAGGGUGCAAGCGUUAUUCGGAAUCACUGGGCGUAAAGGACGCGUAGGCGGGUUUGUAAGUCAGGUGUGAAAUCCUACAGCUUAACUGUAGAACUGCACUUGAAACUACAGACCUAGAGUAUGGGAGGGGCAGAUGGAAUUAGUGGUGUAGGGGUAAAAUCCGUAGAUAUCACUAGGAAUACCGAAAGCGAAGGCGAUCUGCUGGAACAUAACUGACGCUAAGGCGUGAAAGCGUGGGGAGCAAACAGGAUUAGAAACCCUUGUAGUCC